AACGAACGCUGGCGGCAUGCCUAACACAUGCAAGUCGAACGAUCCCUUCGGGGAUAGUGGCGCACGGGUGCGUAACGCGUGGGAACCUGCACUUAGGUUCGGCAUACCUCAGAGAAAUUUGAGCUAAUACCGGAUAAUGUCUUCGGACCAAAGAUUUAUCGCGUUUGGAUGGGCCCGCGUUGGAUUCGCUCGUUGGUGGGGUAAUGGCCUACCAAGGCGACGAUCAAUAGCUGGUCGGAGAGGCUGAUCAGCAACACUGGGACUGAGACACGGCCCAGACUCCUACGCGAGGCAGCAGUGGGUAAUAUUGGACAGUGGGCGAAGUCCUGAUCCAGCAAUGCCGCGUGAGUGAUGAAGGCCUUAGGGUUGUAAAGCUCUUUUACCCGGGAUGAUAAUGACAGUACCGGGAGAAUAAGCCCCGGCUAACUCCGUG
rnacentral:rRNA from 1 species